rnacentral:rRNA from 1 species
CGCGAAUGGCUCAUUACAACAGCUAUAAUUUACUUGAUCUUGACAAUCCUACUUGGAUAACUGUGGUAAUUCUAGAGCUAAUACAUGCACCAAAGCUCUGACCUUACGGGAAGAGUGCAUUUAUUAGAACAAAACCAAGCGGCUUCGGUCGUUUUUUGUUGACUCAGAAUAACUAAGCUGAUCGCAUGGUCUUGUACCGGCGACGUGUCUUUCAAGUAUCUGCCUUAUCAACUUUCGAUGGUAGUGUAUCUGACUACCAUGGUUGUGACGGGUAACGGAGGAUAAGGGUUCGACUCCGGAGAAGGGGCCUGAGAAAUGGCCACUACGUCUAAGGAUGGCAGCAGGCGCGCAAAUUACCCACUCUCAGCACGAGGAGGUAGUGACGAAAAAUAACGAGACCGUUCUCUUAUGAGGCCGGUCAUCGGAAUGGGUACAAUUUAAACCCUUUAACGAGUAUCUAUGAGAGGGCAAGUCUGGUGCCAGCAGCCGCGGUAAUUCCAGCU